AAAAUUAAAUAAUCUCUCCUCUCAUAAUUCUUUUGUCGUGGAAGCACAGGGCCAUAGUUGAAGUUCUUGCAAGUUGCAACAUCACCAUCUCAUUCACUCUGAUUAGGUAUGGCGGAUUCAGGUGAAACAUGGUUUACCGUGACGGUUGAUGAUGAGGCAAAGGAUCUUUUGUUUCUUCCAGAUCAUAUAAGUGAUCUCUUUGGGGGGUACAAAGGAGGUUCAUGUUCAAAGAGGCAUUGGUGACUCAAAGACUUAUGAAGUUGAGCUCAUGGAGGUCAGGGGUGGAGAAGAAAAAUGUUUUGGAGAGGGUUGGCAUGUCUUCGUCGAGGAAAAUGGUGUGGAGAUUGGUGAUAUAUAUUAAUCAUAACGUGUCUGGGUGGUAAUUUAUUUAAGGUGGAUAUUUGGAGGGCUGGCGUUGAAAUCACCCGUAACACUAUUUUGAUCUCAUCUGAUUCAAGCGAUGAUGAUGGUGAUGGUGAUGAUACGAUGGAGCCUAUCCAACCACCUCCUCCCUCCUUCAAAUUCCAAUUCAUCAAAAGCUACAUAUCCAAACAAACAAUUUACGUUCCCGUAUCCUUUGCCCAUGCAUAUUUUAAUGGCCUUAAAGACCCCUUGUACUGUUGACUUGUAUAAUCGUCGGAAAUGGAGAGCCACAAUGCACAUUAAGUACAAUCGAAAUCGGAAGAUUGUGGCUUGCAAAAUCAAGAAAGGAGUUUCAAAAUUCAUUACGUGUGAAGAGGUUAAAGUGGAUGCAAAGGUUCUUGUUGAGUAAGUGGCACUAGUAGAAAAAGGCUUAUUUGCGUCGCUCAUUUAUAGUGUAUUUGCGUCGCUUCUAUGAGCGACGCAACUGCUCGCGACGCAAAUAAGAGUCAUUUGCGUCGCUCCUUUAUAAACAAGCGACGCAAAUGUCUCUUCUGAUAAACUUAUUUUUUUGUGGAGCGACGCAAAUGACUCUUCAGAUAAACUUAUUAUUUGUUAUUUGCGUCACUCCUUUAUAAAAGAGCGACGAAAAUCACUUUUCUGAUAAACUUCUUUUUUGUUAUUUGCGUCACUCCUUUAUAAAGAGCGACGCAAAUGACUCUUCUGAUAAACUUCUUUUUUGUUA